rnacentral:rRNA from 1 species
AUACGGAGGCUGCGAGCGUUAUCCGGAUUUAUUGGGUUUAAAGGGUGCGUAGGCUGUGCGUUAAGUCAGGGGUGAAAUGCCGUCGCUCAACGACGGAGCUGCCCUUGAUACUGGCGUGCUGGAGUACGGAUGCCGUUGGAGGAAUGAGUGGUGUAGCGGUGAAAUGCUUAGAUAUCACUCAGAACACCGAUUGCGAAGGCAUCUGACGAAUCCGUCACUGACGCUGAGGCACGAAAGCGUGGGGAUAGAACAGGAUUAGAUACCCUGGUAUUCCACGCCGUAAACGAUGAUGACUAACCGUCGGCGAUAGACAGCCGGUGGCCAAGCGAAAGCGAUAAGUCAUCCACCUGGGGAGUACGUCGGCAACGAUGAAACUCAAAUGAAUUGACGGGG